AGCGAACUUCAAACUAGACUGGAUGUAUUUUAACCGAAAGCAAUCCAUUUUCCCGCGUUUGCCUGCAAUAUGCAAUUGGAGCUCCGAAGUUUUCGUUCACAUUGCUCCUCCAACCUUGCAACUUCAAGUAAUGUGUUGGAAUCGAUUCGCUUUGAUAGUUGGAGUGUGGGCAUUUGGUCUGCAAAUUUCGUAAAAUCGCCAAUUGAAGGGCAAGAUUUUUGUUCAGAAAAGUUCUUCUUGGUCCUACAAAUCUAGGGAUUGGAACACCUUCAUAGUCCAGUCGCUUCGUUGGAAAUGCGUUCGCCAAGACCACCAAAGUACAAAGGAGAUUUUACCGUCAAAGUAUAAAUCUCUGCCGUCAAUGAGACUCCAUGGCGUGCAGCUAGUCGACGUGAUUUCGAAAUCUGAUGGAUGAUUUAAACAAAAUCCUCCUUGGCUCUGGCUAUUGAGAACUCGCACAAAGGGGCUACAAAUUUUGGAGAAAAAGACAGGAAGAAGACGUUUAUUAUAAAGAUUGUAAGGGAUUCGCGCUUAUUCAUCAGAGGCAAAAAAGAGUAAAAGUAUCACUCUCUCUUUUCGAUGGGUUCGGAUCCCUUUGCUUCAUCAUCCAAUGGAGACUCUCACUAGGUGACAAAGUCAGAGAACAGGUGAAGAAAGCAGGUGGGGAGUUUCAAAUUUUGAAGGAAAGCAGGUGAAGAUGAGCACAAAGUAAGAAAACAACACCAGGGUCCUGUCUGUUUUUGGGCUUUUGAGGUGGGAGUUUUGUUUGGAAGCUGUUGGAAUUAUACUCUCAAGGUAUUUAUCUGAAUUAACAACAAUUAAUUAUUAUAAUCAUUCAUUUAUUGACAUAUAGCUUGUCAGUCUCCUAAUUUGCUUUGGAGCUUUCUCCAACUACUUGAACUAUAAUAUUGAUCAACCCCAGCUCAUCAACUUGGCAAGUUGUAAGUUUUCUAACCAAUUUCCUCUCUCCCUCAUCAACCUUUUUUUUUUCUUUGAAAUUUCCCCAUAUUUCUACUUCUAAAUUACAUUCUUCUAUAGAUAAUAAAUGAAGCCACUAGAGACAUUUGAAAUUAGUGAACAGCAAAAUCCAUGUUGAAAAAAAAAACCUCAAGAUGUGGUAAAUUUUGACGCAAUUACAUUAAUUUAAUUCAGAUUUAAAUUUAUAUUAGAUUUAGAUUAAAUUAAUUAAAUUCCAUCCUUCACUAUUUUGAUAUGUUUGAAUUGGGUUUCUAAGUGCUUAAAAACAUUUUUGUUCAAAAUAUAUAUUUUUAAGUACUUAGAAAAUAAAUCCAAGCAAGUCUUCCAUUAUCAAUAUCCAUCUUGAUUAAUUGAUUAUUAAUAAAUGAUAAAUUAUCUGAAGAGAAACAUAGGUUCAUUGUGUUCUUACACUAUCCAACAAAAAUAGCUGAAGGUUUUAAGGUAACUUCUUCAAGGUGUCAAUCUGCAAGUACUUAGGUUGUCCUACCAGUCUAGGUUUUUUGCUUGUCCAAAUUAGCAAGUACAGAGAGAAGGGACCCAUAUGCCAAAAGUUAUUGGUGCCUGGAUGAAUUAUUUUGCCAAUUUAUAUUUUCUUCUGGUCAUCCCUCUAAAUCAAAUACAAAUUAAUUUCAUCACAAAGGUGAUCAGCUCUUUAGCCAGCAACAAUAAUCAAUUUACCUAGGUCUAGGUUCAUUAGUAACUUUGAUCUCUUCAAUGUCAUUACAACAAAUUUUGGACUUUGUCUAGUAUCUUAGUACUUCUUAGGUAAAUAUAAAAAUAUAGAACUGCAUUUAAGGUUUUUAAAUCUAUUUGGAAUGCUUAGAAACUUCUUUUUAUAUAUAUAUAUAUAUAUAUGUAUGUAUGUAUGUAUGUAUGUAUUUUUAAAAACUCUUUUUAAACACUUGAAAAAUCCAGUAGACAUAACUAAAUAGAGGGUCUCUAACUAACAAUAUUCCUUUCCAUUAUAUUUUGUUAAUAAAGAAUGUAGAGAUUAUUUGGAAGCCAAGUUUUGUCUUCUAAAAAAACCAUAGUCUAUUUUUCUAAAAAUAAGAACCUGUUCUUGAAUAUAAAAAGGAAAAUAUUGUCCUACUAAGGGCUUGGCCACCACUAAGCUUUUUAUGGAAAGAAAAUGCUUCUCUUCCCUCCUUUUCUCUCUACCCAUCAAAACUUUAGUGGUGAGCAACAAAAAAGUUUCCUACUCUUCAAUACACAUAUUUUUUUAUAAACUUAUUUUUGUAAGAGAGUUUAUAAAAACUAGUUCUGGAAAUAAAAUAAUAAUAAUAAUAAUAGUAAAAACAAGACUGUACUUUGUUAUUUUCAUAUGCUUUUUCUUUAUUGUUUCUUAAAUCAACUGUUCAUACGCAACCCAUUAGUAAUUUUUAUAGGUACAAUAAUAUUCCUGAAUUGAUAUGUUUAGUAAAAGAAAAAUUAAAAUGAUACACUAUAAAAAAUGAUCAAAAUCAUUUUAAUCAUGGAGCCAAAUGCACAUGAUCUGAUCCCAAACCAAGGGAAGGAACCUCCCAAUAAGACAAUAAAUAAAUCAUUUAAUUUUUGGUUGGAAGCAUUCUAUAAAUUCCUUUGCAGCCUAUAAUAUGCAGUGGAUGCUAUUUUGCUGACACCUAGCUGCCAACCAAACCUUUUCUUCCAUUAAUGGCUGCUACCCAGAGCUCCAAUCCUUCAUCUCAGCCUCCAAAUCCUUUAAAUUCCAAUCCUAAUAAUCAAGAGAUCAACCAUGGCAGAAGAAGGUUUCUUGGAGUGAGACAACGCCCUUCUGGAAGAUGGGUUGCGGAGAUCAAAGUUUCCUCACAGAAGCUUAGGCUAUGGCUUGGCACUUUCAACAGAGCUGAAGAUGCUGCCAUGGCUUAUGACAGAGCUGCAAGGCUUCUAAGAGGAAGAUCCGCAAAGACAAACUUCCCAUAUGAUGAUCACGAUCAUGGCUUCUUCAAUUCUUCCACCAUUAAUGAAGAACAAAGUCGAUCCUUGUUUGGACAUAGUCCUAAGCUCUGCCGUUUGCUUCAACAUGCCAUCAUGAAGAACAGAAGCCGUUUGAGAUCAACAGCUGAUUAUCAGCAGCAGAUAACGAGAAAUAAUGGGUUGAUUGAUUCGGUUGUUGAAGAUACUAUUUUCUGUUCUUCAACGAAUUUGGUUGAAAAUAAGAAUGAUAAUAAUAAAGGAUGUGGGUGUGGAUUCUCUUUUGGGGGUUCUAAAGUUUAUACUUCUGUGUUUGUAGCUCCUUCUUUUAGCUCUGAUGUUGAGAAGUGAGGUAGAAGAAGGGAGAUGAUGAUGAAUCCUUGUAAGCUUUGAUUUAGUGUAGUUUUUUAGUUGGGAAUCUGUUGUUCUUCUUCCAUGUAGUUUCGUCCAUGUAAAAUUACAGUUCUCUCUUUCAUGUUGCUACCACUGUGUUAAUGGAGAAGCUGAAAAAUAAAGAAUGAACUUCCUCUAUGUUAUGAGUGUAUAUGACAUGAUUAUGAAAUUAUUGGAUAACACA